GCGAGCGUGAUGGAAUGGUAGACAUGCAGGUCUUAGAUGCCUGUGCUUAACCGCGUGGGGGUUCGAGUCCCCCCGCUCGCA
rnacentral:tRNA from 1 species